rnacentral:rRNA from 1 species
AGAGUUUGAUCAUGGCUCAGAUUGAACGCUGGCGGUAGGCUUAACACAUGCAAGUCGAGCGAGAAAGUAUCUUCGGAUAUGAGUAGAGCGGCGGACGGGUGAGUAAUGCGUAGGAAUCUACCUAGUAGAAGGGGAUAGCCCGGGGAAACUCGGAUUAAUACCGUAUACCUCCUAAGGGAGAAAGAGGGCCUCUCUUGAAGCUCUCGCUACUAGAUGAGCCUGCGUAAGAUUAGCUUGUUGGUAAGGUAAUGGCUUACCAAGGCUACGAUCUUUAGCUGGUCUGAGAGGACGAUCAGCCACAUUGGGACUGAGACACGGCCCAGACUCCUACGGGAGGCAGCAGUGGGGAAUAUUGGACAAUGGGCGCAAGCCUGAUCCAGCCAUACCGCGUGUGUGAAGAAGGCCUUCGGGUUGUAAAGCACUUUAAGCAGGGAGAAAAAGCAAUAAGUUAAUACCUUAUUGCCGUGAUGUUACCUGCAGAAUAAGCACCGGCUAAUUCCGUGCCAGCAGCCGCGGUAAUACGGAAGGUGCAAGCGUUAAUCGGAAUUACUGGGCGUAAAGCGCGCGUAGGUGGUUUGUUAAGUUGGAUGUGAAAGCCCUGGGCUCAACCUAGGAACUGCAUCCAAAACUAACUCACUAGAGUACGAUAGAGGGAGGUAGAAUUCAUAGUGUAGCGGUGGAAUGCGUAGAUAUUAUGAAGAAUACCAGUGGCGAAG